rnacentral:tRNA from 1 species
AUGUAGCGCAAUGGAUAGCAUGUUGGACUUCUAAUUCAAAGGUCAUGGGUUCGAAUCCCACCUGAGAUG